rnacentral:lncRNA from 1 species
UUUAUAGUCAAUUUUUAACCAUUUUUAGCUCACCUGGCCCGAAGGGCCAAGUGAGCUAUUCCCAUCACUUUGCGUCCGGCGUCCGUCGUCGUCCGUCGUCGUCCGUCGUCCGUCGUCCGUCGUCGUUAACUUUUACAAAAAUCUUCUCCUCUGAAACUACUGGGCCAAAUUUAACCAAACUUGACCAAAUCAUCAUUGGGUAUCUAGUUUAAAAAAUGUGUGGCGUGACCCCGGCCAACCAACCAAGAUGGCCGCCACGGCUAAAAAUAGAACAUAGGGGUAAAAUGUAGAUUUUGGCUCAUAUCUCUGAAACCAAAGCAUUUAGAGCAAAUCUGACAUGGGGUAAAAUUGUUUAUCAGGUCAAGAUCUAUCUGCCCUGAAAUUUUCAGAUGAAUCGGACAACCCGUUGUUGGGUUGCUGCCCCAAAAUUGGUCAUUUUAAGGAAAUUUCACCGUUUUUGGUUAUUAUCUUGAAUAUAAUUAUAGAUAGAGAUAAACUGUAAAUAGCAAUAAUGUUCAGCAAAGUAAGAUCUACAAAAAAGUCAACAUGACCAAAAUGGUCAGUUGACCCUUAAGGAGUUAUUGCCCUUUAUAGUCAUUUUUUGUCAAUUUUUCUUGAAGUUUUGUUAUCUUGUACAAAAAUCUUCUCCUCUGAAACUACUGAGACAAAUUUAACCAAACUUGUCCACAAUUAUCAUUAGGGUAUCUAGUUUAAAAAUGUGUUCGAUGACCCUGUCUGCCAAACCAAGAUGGCCGACAUGACUAAUAAUAGUACAUAGGGUAAAAUGCAGUUUUUGGCUAAAAUCUCAGAAACCAAAGCAUUUAAAGCAAAUCUGACAAGGAUAAAUUUGUUUGAUAGGUCAAAGUCUAUCUGCCCUGAAAUUUUCAGACCAAUCAGGCAACCCGUUGUUUGGUUGCUGCCCCGGAAUUGGUAAUUUUCAGAAAAUUUUAGAGUUUUGGUUAUUAUCUUGAAUAUUGUUAUAGAUAGAGAUAAAGUGUAAACAGCAAUAAUGUUUAGCAAAGUACAAGCUACAAAUAAGUGGAUAUAGCCAAAAUUUUCAAUUGACCCUUUAAGGGAGUUACUGCCCUUCAUAGUCAAUUUUAACAAUUGAUUUGUAUUUGUUUGUAAACUUUUACCAAAUGCUUCUCCUCUGAAACUGCAGUAGUCCCAAAAAAGGUCCUGCCCCCCUCACUAAUGAACAUAUACUUGAAGAAAAACAAACAUUUAUUCCUAAUGAUAGCGUUCCUUUGUUUACAUUGAAAAUGAUGUGACAACUAUAAUCCCUAACAUCAAAAAUGUUUCAGUAUUUUGGUUUCUUUUCAACAGAUUCCAAAGUUUGAAUGUCAAGUUUGAAUUCUAAUAAUUUAUACAGACUUCAUCCCCUUUUACAGGUAAUGUGUGCCUCAUAUUAUUGUUUUAAAACUUUAAUAGAAUAACAGACACUUUGAGAGCUAAAUUAAUCAACAAAAACAGAUCUUAGAAUUGAUUGAUAGUGUUCAAAA